rnacentral:pre_miRNA from 1 species
AAUAAGUUUGUUUUUCAAUUCUUAGAUACACCAUUUUAACUCUUCGUCUUAUUUGAUUUUUUAUGAUUAAUAUUUUUAUUAUUAUUAGAUGAUAAAACAUAAAUAAUAUUUUAUACGUGACUAUUUUUUAAAAAUUUUUGUAUAAUUUUUUUAAAUAAGACGAAUGAUCAAACGUUGGACGCAUAAAUUGAAAAGUAAAGUUAUU